GACGAACGCUGGCGGCGUGCCUAAUACAUGCAAGUUGAGCGCUGAAGGUUGGUACUUGUACCAACUGGAUGAGCAGCGAACGGGUGAGUAACGCGUGGGGAAUCUGCCUUUGAGCGGGGGACAACAUUUGGAAACGAAUGCUAAUACCGCAUAAAAACUUUAAACACAAGUUUUAAGUUUGAAAGAUGCAAUUGCAUCACUCAAAGAUGAUCCCGCGUUGUAUUAGCUAGUUGGUGAGGUAAAGGCUCACCAAGGCGAUGAUACAUAGCCGACCUGAGAGGGUGAUCGGCCACAUUGGGACUGAGACACGGCCCAAACUCCUACGGGAGGCAGCAGUAGGGAAUCGUCGGCAAUGGACGAAAGUCUGACCGAGCAACGCCGCGUGAGUGAAGAAGGUUUUCGGAUCGUAAAAAUCGGUUGGUAGAGAAGAACGUUGGUGAGAGUGGAAAGCUCAUCAAGUGACGGUAACUACCCAGAAAGGGACGGCUAACUACGUG
rnacentral:rRNA from 1 species